GGCCCCGUGGCCUAAUGGAUAAGGCGUCGGACUUCGGAUCCGAAGAUUGUCGGUUCGAAUCCGGCCGGGGUCG